rnacentral:lncRNA from 1 species
UUUAAAUAGAAGUUGCCGAAAUGUUCAUGUCCGUCAUAUUUGUUUUUCGUAAGAGCACAUAUUUCGUCCUAUUUGUCCUCUUAUUUUUUAGGAUCUGGGUAUGUGUUUGUCUCUUUGUUUUUCUCAUUUUGACGCUACAUUAGUCCCUUAUUUCUGUGACAAAAUCAAUUUAAAUAAAACUCAGAUGAUUGACACAAGGGAUAGAAAGUGUUCCGACCAAAGAGGGCGGGUAGUGUUACCCAACUCCGAUAUAUUCAUGUAUGUAGUUUAUAGUGGUGAAACCUCACUCCCCCGAUAUAUACGCUAAAGCGGGAAACCAAAAAAUCAAAGUGAAAGAAG